UCCCGCAUCCAACUGCCCAGAGCACA
rnacentral:piRNA from 1 species